AGCGAACAUUGGCGGUAGGCUUAACACAUGCAAGUCGAGCGAGGCGUAAUAGUCGAGCGGCGAACGGGUGAGUAAUACUUGGGAAUCUGCCCUGAAGUGGGGGAUAACGUCCAGAAAUGGACGCUAAUACCGCAUAAUCCAUAUCGGGAAAGCGCGCUGCGCUUUAGGAUGAGCCCAAGUCUGAUUAGCUAGUUGGCGGGGUAAAGGCCCACCAAGGCGACGAUCAGUAGCUGGUCUGAGAGGAUGAUCAGCCACACUGGAACUGAGACACGGUCCAGACUCCUACGGGAGGCAGCAGUGGGGGAAUCUUGCGCAAUGGGGGCAACCCUGACGCAGCCAUACCGCGUGUGUGAUGAAGGUCUUCGGAUUGUAAAGCACUUUCAGCGGGGACGGACAAUGACGGUACCCGCAGAAGAAGUACACGGCUAACUUCGUGCCAGCAGCCGCCGGGUAAU
rnacentral:rRNA from 1 species